UACGUAGGGUGCAAGCGUUAUCCGGAAUUAUUGGGCGUAAAGAGCUCGUAGGCGGUUUGUCGCGUCUGCUGUGAAAACCUGAGGCUCAACCUCGGGCCUGCAGUGGGUACGGGCAGACUAGAGUGCGGUAGGGGAGAUUGGAAUUCCUGGUGUAGCGGUGGAAUGCGCAGAUAUCGUGAGGAAGACCAGUGGCGAAGGCGGAUCUCUGGACAGUUCCUGACGCUGAGGCGCGAAGGCCAGGGGAGCAAACGGG
rnacentral:rRNA from 1 species